CUUAUGUAAUACAUGUAUCACUAGCCACUUUAACUACGCCACUUGGUUUACAUACUCAUCUCAUAUGUAUAUACUGUACUCGAUAUCAUCUACUGUAUCUUGCCUAUGCUGCUCUGUACCAUCACUCAUUCAUAUAUCCUUAUGUACAUAUUCUUUAUCCCCUUACACUGUGUAUGAGACAGUUUUUUUGGAAUUGUUAGUUAGAUUACUUGUUGGUUAUUACUGCAUUGUCGGAACUAGAAGCACAAGCAUUUCGCUACACUCGCAUUAACAUCUGCUAACCAUGUGUAUGUGACAAAUAAAAUUUGAUUUGAUUUGAUUUGAACACAACAUAUAAUUAGUGAGCAUUUCUCCUUUGCCAAGAUAAUCCAUCCACCAGACAGGUGUGGCAUAUGGAGUAUUUCUGUCUGUAAUAAAGCAAUUUUUGGGGGGAAAAACUCAUUAUGGAUUGGCUGGGCAUGGCUCCCCAGUGGCUGGGCCUGGCUCCCCAGUGGGUGGGCCUAUGCCCCCCCAAGGCCCACCCAUGGCUUCACCCCUGCCCAGUUAAAUGAAAUCCAAAGAUUAGGGCCUUCAUUUCCAUUGACAAUAUUCCUUCCAUGAACUGUAACUCAGUAAAAUAUUUGAAAUGGUUGCGUUUAUAUGAUGAUGCGUUCACAUUUUAGUUCAGUGUACAGAGACAUAGAUAUAGGUAGAGUAGAUUCACAGGUUAUGAUGAAGACAGAGGGGGUAGAGUAGACUCACAGGUUAUGAUGAAGACAGAGGGGGUAGAGUAGACUCACAGGUUAUGAUGAAGACAGAGGGGGUAGAGUAGAUUCACAGGUUAUGAUGAAGACAGAGGGGGUAGAGUAGAUUCACAGGUUAUGAUGAAGACGUGUAGAUUCACUGGUUAUGAUGAUGAAGAUGAGUAGAGCGUACAGAGACCGGUGGAAAGGUAUGGAUUGCAGUUUUGGGGUCACGAUUCGGUUUUGGUAUAGGGGGAAAAUGAACAGUUUGGCUUCGGCAGUUAACUUCUGUUAACGAAAUAAGAUACACGUUGGUACUUCUGAUUCCAUAUCCACCAUAACAGGCCUGAUGAGAGCACCAUCUUCUGAAAUGAAAACACCACGACUCAUCAACACUAGGAGAAAGUGACAUGUGCAAUCAAUAUGGAAACAUGGCUCAGACAUGGAAAAGACCUGUUUUCUUACGAAGACAAACAUAUGCGCACUUGUGUGACUCAAAGGGGGUGUGUCUAUGGCACUGUAGUUCUUUCCCAGUCCGGGGUCAUGUGAUGGGCUGUCACUUAACAGUCCGGGGUCAUGUGAUUGGCUGUCACUUAAUAGUCCGGGGUCAUGUGAUGGGCCGUCACUGUGAAGUAACUGUGUAACCCUGGAGAUCCAUCCAUCUGUAGGCAGCCCAACACAGGCUGGAUUGGCCAAUUCAUUGUCAACUUCAGCUUUAACUAGCUUAUAUAUGGGUAGCCUGUAUACUGAAAUGAGUGAGAGAGUGAAGAGCCUAAUGUGGCUAGAACACUUUCACAAAGUGCAGAAACGCUCUAACCCCGACAUCCUGACCCCUAAUCACCUGACCCCCUAACCCCUGACAUCCUGACCCC
ensembl:lncRNA